rnacentral:rRNA from 1 species
GAACGACUCUCGGCAACGGAUAUCUCGGCUCUCGAAUCGAUGAAGAACGUAGCGAAAUGCGAUACUUGGUGUGAAUUGCAGAAUCCCGUGAACCAUCGAGUCUUUGAACGCAAGUUGCGCCCGAAGCCUUCUGGUCGAGGGCACGUCUGCCUGGGUGUCACGC